rnacentral:rRNA from 1 species
AACGAACGCUGGCGGCAGGCUUAACACAUGCAAGUCGAGCGCCCCGCACGGGUAGCGGCAGACGGGUGAGUAACGCGUGGGAACGUACCUUUUGGUUCGGAACAACUCCGGGAAACUGGAGCUAAUACCGGAUAAGCCCUAACGGGGAAAGAUUUAUCGCCGAAAGAUCGGCCCGCGUCUGAUUAGCUAGUUGGUGAGGUAACGGCUCACCAAGGCGACGAUCAGUAGCUGGUCUGAGAGGAUGAUCAGCCACACUGGGACUGAGACACGGCCCAGACUCCUACGGGAGGCAGCAGUGGGGAAUAUUGGACAAUGGGCGCAAGCCUGAUCCAGCCAUGCCGCGUGAGUGAUGAAGGCCUUAGGGUUGUAAAGCUCUUUUGUCCGGGAAGAUAAUGACUGUACCGGAAGAAUAAGCCCCGGCUAACUUCGUG